rnacentral:rRNA from 1 species
UACGUAGGGUGCGAGCGUUGUCCGGAAUUAUUGGGCGUAAAGAGCUCGUAGGCGGUCUGUCGCGUCGAUCGUGAAAACUUGAGGCUCAACCUCGAGAUGUCGAUGGAAACCGUCUGGCUAGAGUCCGGAAGAGGAGUGUGGAAUUCCUGGUGUAGCGGUGAAAUGCGCAGAUAUCAGGAAGAACACCUAUGGCGAAGGCAGCACUCUGGGACGGUACUGACGCUGAGACGCGAAAGCGUGGGGAGCGAACAGG